UUAGUACUCCCUUCGUUCGGAAAUACUUGUCAUCAAAAUGGAUAAAAGGGUAUGUAUCUAGAUGUAUUUUGGUUCUAGAUACAUCUCUUUUUAUCCAUUUUGAUGACAAGUAUUUUUGGACGAAUGGAGCACAAU
rfam:Triticum aestivum genome assembly, contig: Triticum_aestivum_CS42_TGACv1_scaffold_472195_6AL